GUGUCUCUGAAUAAACAAAUCAGUCUUUGCAGAGGGGUCGUGGGGCUCUGUAUCCCCUCCCUCUAGUAUUAUUUGAAGAGCGUGCUAGAGUAGAGUAAUAAUUUUCUCUCUCGAUUAACUGCCGUUGUUGGUCUUCGUCUCAUCUCAUCUCCACUGAGCGCUCCCUUCCUCCCAUCUCAUUCCUCGCCUCCAUUGCGCUCCCUGGAAUAAGAUCCAUCUGCCCUUGUUGCUGAUCUUAUCCCGCCUCCCCUGGCCUCGCCCCUGCCAACUGACUGCUUCAUUGGUGACAUUUUUGGUCCAGGGUGGCAAGAACCAUGGAGCUUCCGGUCAUUAUUCAGAGCAGCAUGCAUGAAAUCCAGUGACCCUGCUAGCGGCCUGAUCGAGUGAAGCGACCCCCACGAAUCUGGUGCUCACCCGCCACUUCCGCUUCCAAUCCGACGAGGACGUUGCCGUUGUGUUCUUUGCGGUGAAGCACCAAAGAUCGAGUGAACCAGCGCGCCAUCUUGUCCCCUCCAUCGCUGACGGAUCUUGCUUGAGAGUCUGAUUUGUGUUGCUUGAUUCAAGAGGAGCAGUGGAACAGCAAGCAAGAACCAUACAGUUUCCAGUCAUUCAGAGCAUGAUGCCUCAAAUCCAUUGACCCGGCUAGCGGCCUGCUAAAUUUAUCUCCUCUUUCUUACUAUUCUGCUUUACUGAAAUGUUUCACAUCCACACAUUAUCUGCUUUUUUUCUUUUCGAAAAGGAGGAUUUCCCCCUGCCUCUGCAUCAAAAAUCCAGACCUUAUCUGCUGAUUUGCUAAGUUUUCAGUUUGCAACUCAGUUCUAGAGCUCGAUUACAGCUCCUCAAAUUCAUCGAUUUGCAGGUUUCUAGCUGAUUGGUGGUAAAGAAAGCUGCUCAUGGAGGUCGUCAUGGGUGCCAUGGGCAGCCUGCUCCCCAAGCUGGGCCAGCUGCUCAUGGAUGAGUACAACCUGCACAAGCGCGUCAGGAAAGAUGUUGAGUUCCUCAGGAAGGAGCUUGAGAGCAUGCACGCUGCCCUCAUCAAGGUUGGCGACGUGCCGCCGGACCAGCUCGACAGGCAGGUCAAGCUCUGGGCCGACGAGGUCAGAGAGCUCUCCUACAACAUGGAGGAUGUCGUCGACAAGUUUCUCGUACGCGUCGAAGGUAAUCAGCAGCCUCACGACAACACCGGCAGAUUCAAGGAGCUCAAAAACAAGAUGGUCAGCUUGUUCAAGAAAGGCAAAAAUCACCAUCGGAUAGCUGACGCCGUCAAGGAAAUCAAGGAGCAACUCCAGGAGGUGGCUGCUAGGCGUGGCAGGAACAAGCUCGAUGGUAUUGCUUUUAAUCCCAACGAAGCAAUUGCUAUCGAUCCUCGUCUUCGGGCUUUGUACACAGAAGCGACAGAGCUCAUUGGCAUCUAUGGGAAGAGGGAUCAGGACCUCUUGAGUUUGCUCUCUAUUGAGGGCGACGAUGCAUCUAACAAGAAACUGAAGAAGAUCUCCAUUGUUGGAUUUGGAGGGUUGGGAAAGACCACACUUGCUAGAGCAGUAUAUGAGAAGAUUAAAGGUGAUUUUGAUUGUCGGGCAUUUGUUCCCGUCGGUCAGAAUCCUGAUGUCAGGAAGGUUUUUAGGGAUAUCCUUAUUGAUCUCGGAAAAUCCCACUCAGAUGUUGUCAUGUUGGAUGAAAGGCAGCUUAUCAACAAGCUUCAUGAAUUCCUCGAGAACAAGAGGUAUCUGGUCAUAAUUGAUGAUAUAUGGGAUGAAAAAUUGUGGGAAGGCAUCAACUUGGCUUUCUCUAAUAGGAAUAAUCUAGGCAGUCGGCUAAUCACCACAACCCGCAUAGUCAGUGUAUCCAAUUCAUGUUGCUCGUCAGCUAAUGAUUUAGUUUAUCAAAUGAAACCUCUUUCUACGGAUGAUUCCAGAAGGCUCUUUCAUAAGAGAAUAUUUCCCGACAAGAGUGGAAGUCCAAAUGAAUUUGAACAAGUGUCUAAAGAUAUAUUGAAAAAAUGUGGUGGGGUACCACUAGCCAUCAUUACUAUUGCUAGUGCUUUGGCUAGUGGCCACCAGGUGAAACCAAAGCGUGAGUGGGACAUUCUGCUCCAGUCCCUUGGCUCUGGACUAACAGAAGAUAACAGUUUAGAGGAGAUGCGGAGAAUACUCUCAUUCAGCUAUUAUAAUCUACCCUCUCAUCUGAAAACUUGUCUAUUAUACCUAUGUGUAUAUCCAGAAGAUAGCAAGAUUGAUAGAGAUACACUGAUACGGAAGUGGGUGGCUGAAGGAUUUGUCCGUUGUGGGAACCAAGGGACUAGCCUGUUUUUGGUCGGAUUAAACUACUUCAACCAGCUCAUUGAUAGAAGUAUGAUCCAGCCAAUAUAUGAUCUUCUAGGCCAGGUACAUGCUUGCUGUGUACAUGAUAUUGUUCUUUAUUUUAUCUGCAACUUGUCACAUGAAGCGAAGUUUGUUAAUGUAUUGGAUGGUACUGGGAUGUCUUUUCAAGGCAAUGUUCGUCGUUUGUCCCUUCAAGAUAGAAAUAAAGAUCAUCAAGGCACACCUAUCAGAAAUUUCACGGGUAUAUCACGAGUGAGGUCCAUUACUGUCUUUACAUCUGCUAUUAAUAUCAUGCCAGCCCUGUCCAGGUUUGAAGUUCUGCGUGUACUUGAAUUGUCGGGCUGUAAUCUGGGAGAAAGUAGUAGCCUGCAACUUAACCUCAAGGGUGUUGGACACUUAAUUCACCUGAGGUAUCUUGGUCUAGCAGGUACUGGAAUAAGGGAACUCUCGCCCGAGAUAGGAAACCUACUGUUUUUGGAGGUGUUGGAUCUUGAAAGAAAUUAUGAGCUAGAUGAAUUGCCUUCCACUCUUUUUAAAUUGAGAAGAUUAAUCUACCUAAAUGUUUAUCUCAAUAAGGUGGUUCCAACUCCUGGUGUGUUGCAGAAUCUGACAUCCAUUGAAGUGUUGAGGGGGAUCCUGGUCUCUGUGAACAUUAUUGCACGAGAGCUUGGCAACCUUGCAAAGAUGAGGGAGCUUCUGAUUCACUUCAAGGAUGGUAGUUUGGAUUUGUAUGAAGGUUUCGUGAAGUCUCUGGGCAACCUACUUCACAUCGAAAGCCUAUAUAUUAAUUGCGAUUCCGGAGAAACAUCUUUUGAACUGAUGGAUCUCUUGGGAGAAUGCUGGAUGCCUCCUGUACAUCUCUGCAAAUUUGUGUCUUGGAUGCCCAGCCAACUCUCUGCACUGCGAGGGUGGACAAAGAGAGACCCCUCGCAUCUCUCGAACCUCUCCCAGUUAAUCCUCUUGUCAGUGAAGGAAGUGCAGCAGCAGGACGUGGAUAUCAUUGGGGGGUUGCUGUCCCUUCGCUUUCUUUGGAUACAGACCACCCACCAAACACAACGGCUGCUUGUGAUCGGUGCAGAUGGGUUUCGCUGUAUGUCAGAAUUUCGCUUGGAUUGUGGAUCAGGAGCGCAGAUAAUGUUUGAACCAGGGGCUUUACCGAGGGCAGAAUCAGUUGCGUUCAGUCUUGGCGUGCUGGUGGCGAAAGAGGAUGGUAACUGUCGUUUCGACUUGGGCCUGCAGGGGAACCUGCUCUCCCUUCGGCGGGAGGUCCGGGUUCAUAUGUAUUGUGGUAGAGCGAGGGUUUGGGAGGCCAGGGAAGCGGAGGCUGCAGUGACGCAUGCCCUCCACGCCCAUCCCAACCAUCCCCCGCUUUAUAUUGAUAUGCUCCCACAUAUAGCAGAAGGUGCUCAUGAUGACGAUUUGUGUGAGGACGAGGUGGAGAACUGAUUUCUGACGCAGAAGGAUUCACAUUGCAUCAGGUGUGCUCUCCGUAUAAGGGGCCUACUGAUUGUGAAGGUUUUACUCUGAGAAAUAAGCAGGAUUUGUGGAUAAGGGUAUUUUCUGUUCAUUAUACGCAUAUAGCUCUUGAAGCUCAAGUGAAACGACCCUGCUGAAAAUUUUGGUAGCACGGGCGUGGGAUUACUGCUGGUGGCAUUGGAUAAUUUGUGUGGUCUCACAAACAUUUUGGGUGGGCGCCGACCCUGCGAAGAAUUGAAGGAUGGAAAGGUUUUGACCUUGGCUGGAAGUUGUGUGAUGAGAUUGGCGAAAGAGAUAUUGCUUGGUAUUGUAAUGAACUAGUAAGGGUGUUGGGGUGAAUGGAUCCUUACAAGGAUAGCUUUACUAGCGUGUAGUGCGCGGCGGCACGCCGCGCCACAUGGAUUAAUACGCUAUCUGAUUUUUUUGAAUGUUCGUUAACUCGUCCCAAGAGUUGAUUCAUUGCAAAGUAGUUCAUACAAGAAAAGGGUAUGUCUAUUUGGUACAUGCAUAAAUGAUGUACAAUAGGUAAUGAUAGUGGCUAUUGGAUGCAGAAUGGCGAAGCUCUUGUUCUCAUGUUAGAUUUGAGAUAUUGAUCCUCAAGCUAUGUUUGUCUCUGUGAUGUAGUGGUAGAGAGAUGAGGCUAGUUCUUAUGCUAUUGUUCUUGAUGGUU